rnacentral:lncRNA from 1 species
AAAAACUUCUCUUCCCUAAUUACUUGGUGGCGGCAGAGAGGAACAUGAGCAGUUUGCUUGCAAUCGGCAGAGAGGAAGCGACGGAGAAGAAAUACUUGGUGGCAGAGAGGAAGCGGCAGAGAAAAACAAGGAUUAGUUUCCCUAAUUUCAGGUAAUUAAAUUUUUUCUCCUCAUCUCCCUCGCCCAUUGUAUGCUAGAAAAUUGUAUCGAAUAUAUUCGUUUUUGUAAUUAAUAGGUUCUAUGAUUUCGUAUAUAUGUUGAAAUUCCUGUAGGGGUGAUUUGAUUUGAAAUUUGAUGGGUUGUUCUGCAUUCACCAAAGAGAUUAACUAGUCGAGUAGACGAGUUAGAAAGUCCAUCGGAUUUUCAAUCUACUCUUGAAGACCAACCUCAUUUAGAAGAAUUGUUGAAGCAACAUGGCAGUACAUAGAUUUUUUUUUCUUUUUUUAAUAUUUGAUCAUAUUUUAUUUCUUGGUUUUUUCAAGAUUUGGUAUGUUGGUUAUGAAAACUUGAAGAUUUAUGAUACUAAUUAAGCAUUUGUUGUUACAUUGCACUGGUAGUUCAUAUUUUUCGCUUAUUACCUAAAUAUCCUCAUGUCUUUGUAGAUUGAAUGUUUUUAGCUAAUUUUGUGUGUUACUUUAAAUGUCAGGCAUUAAGCACUAUGUCAACUAGUACGGGUAAUCAUUUAUAUUUUUUUAUACGCUGGCAGGCUUCGUCCAAGGGGGAUAUGUGAUUUGGUUUGAGAGCUGGUUAGUGAAUAUUUAUGAUUCAUUUUGAUUUAGUUUUACAUAGAUUGAU